rnacentral:rRNA from 1 species
UACGUAGGGUGCAAGCGUUGUCCGGAAUCAUUGGGCGUAAAGAGCGCGUAGGCGGUCCGGUAAGUCCGCUGUGAAAGUCAAGGGCUCAACCCUUGAAUGCCGGUGGAUACUGUCGGGCUAGAGUCCGGAAGAGGCGAGUGGAAUUCCUGGUGUAGCGGUGAAAUGCGCAGAUAUCAGGAGGAACACCAAUGGCGAAGGCAGCUCGCUGGGACGGUACUGACGCUGAGGCGCGAAAGCGUGGGGAGCAAACAGG